UACGUAGGGGGCUAGCGUUGUCCGGAAUCAUUGGGCGUAAAGCGCGUGUAGGCGGUCCGGUAAGUCCGCUGUGAAAGUCGGGGGCUCAACCCUCGAAUGCCGGUGGAUACUGUCGGGCUAGAGUGCGGAAGAGGCGAGUGGAAUUCCUGGUGUAGCGGUGAAAUGCGCAGAUAUCAGGAAGAACACCUAUGGCGAAGGCAGCUCUCUGGGACGGUACUGACGCUGAGACGCGAAAGCGUGGGGAGCGAACAGG
rnacentral:rRNA from 1 species